rnacentral:misc_RNA from 1 species
UCCGAGUUGUCCCCGGCAGUCCUCUUAGAGUCCCCGGCAUUACCCGCUGGCAACUAAGAGCCGGUGUUUCCUCAGGGGAUUACUCCCCUGGGGGCCAAUCGUUGAUUAGCCAUGCAGCACCUGUGCUGGCCCCUUACGGACACGGGCUUUCACCCGCUUUAACCAGCAUGUCAAGCCCAGGUAAGGUUCUUCGCGUUGCAUCGAAUUAAGCCACAUGCUCCGCCGCUUGUGCGGGCCCCCGUCAAUUCCUUUGAGUUUUAGCCUUGCGGCCGUACUCCCCAGGCGGGGUGCUUAAUGCGUUAGCUUCGGCACGGAGAGGGUUGAAGGCCUCCCCACACCUAGCACCCAACGUUUACGGCUGGGACUAC